AUGUCGGUGCAGGAGUACCUAGAGAAGCACCUGCUCCCGCGCAAGAUCGAGGAGGCCGUGAACGCGGCCGUCCGCGCCAAGGCCGCCGACCCGGUGCUCUUCAUCUCCACCCACAUGCGGCGGGCGGCGCCGGCCGUGAUCACGCGGGUGUGCGCGCGGCAGAUCCUGGACAGCCGCGGCGCCCCCGCGGUGGAGGUCGACCUGCACACCAACAAGGCCGUGCACCGCGCGUCCGCGGCAGGGCCGGGAGCCCCCGAGGGCGCCGCGGUCGACGCCACGAGGGACGUCGAGAAGCGGAGGCUCCUCGCCAAGGCGGUCGCCGACUCGGUGCGGCUGAUCAACGGCAAGGUGUCGGAGGCGCUCGUGGGGAUGGAUCCGCAGCAGCAGGCGCAGAUCGACCAGGCCAUCAUGGACUUGGACAAGGCGCACCACAGGACUGAGGUUGGAGCGAAUGCUAUGCUGGCCGUAUCAAUUGCAGCUUGUAAAGCUGGUGCUGCUGAGAAAGAGGUUCCGCUGUACAAGCAUAUAGCAGAUCUUGUUGGUAAAAGCGCAACGACGCUUCCCGUCCCAGCAAUUACAGUCAUUAAUGGUGGAACCCAUGCUGGAAAUAAUCUUCCCAUUCAAGAAAUUAAGAUCCUUCCAAUCGGUGCCAAAAACUUUGAAGAAGCAAUGCAGAUGGGUUCAGAGACAUAUCAUCAUCUGAAGGAUAUUAUAUGGGAGAAGUAUGGUUCAGACAGUUGCAACAUUGGCGAUGAUGGUGGAUUUGCUCCUAAUAUUUCCAGUAUAACCGAAGGCUUGGAUCUUGUCAUUGCGGCAAUAGAUAGAGCUGGAUAUAAUGGAAGGAUCAAAUUAGCAAUUGAUGCUGCUGCUACUGAUUUUUGUGUAGGAAAAAAAUAUGACCUGGAGUUCAAGUCUGCAAAGAAAUCAGGGCAAAAUUUCAAAACUGGGGACGAUAUGAUUGAGAUUUAUAGUCAACUAUGUUCAGAAUACCCACUUGUCUCCAUUGAACAGCCCUUCGACAAAGAUGACUGGGAGCACUCGAAAAAGUUUACCACCCUAGAGCUAUGUCAGGUUGUAGGAGACGACUUAUUGAUGUCAGAUCCUGAACGCAUUAAGCGGGCAGUAAAUGAAUAUACUUGCGACGCUCUUACUCUCAAGGCAAGUCAAGUGGGCACUGUCACUGAGGCCAUAGAGGCUGUGAAACAGGCAAAGGAUGCGCAUUGGGGUGUGAUGGUGUCACAUAGGUCUGGGGACACGGAUGAUUCUUUCAUCGCCGACCUGGCUGUCGGUGCAGCAGCUGGACAGAUCAAAGCUGGUGCCCCCUGCCGUGGAGAGUGCCUCACGAAAUACAAUCAGCUUCUAAGAAUAGAGGAAGAACUUGGAGGCGAAGGGGGUUACGCUGGCGAAAAUUGGAGAACUACCGCGGGCUGA
rnacentral:rRNA from 1 species